AGGACGAACGCUGGCGGCGUGCUUAACACAUGCAAGUCGAGCGGAAAGGCCCUUCGGGGUACUCGAGCGGCGAACGGGUGAGUAACACGUGAGCAACCUGCCCCUGGCUCUGGGAUAGCUCCGGGAAACCGGGAUUAAAUACCGGACAUGACCUUCUCCUGCAUGGGAGUUGGUGGAAAGUUUUUCGGCCAGGGAUGGGCUCGCGGCCUAUCAGCUUGUUGGCAGGGUAAUGGCCUACCAAGGCGACGACGGGUA
rnacentral:rRNA from 1 species